rnacentral:RNase_P_RNA from 1 species
AGGAAUCUGUGUAGUCGCUGCAGUUCUUCACUGCAGAGGAAAGUCCAGACUCGCCCAAGCUGCGAUGCUUGGAGUGUUUGCGCCUGGUGCAAACCAGGGCGGUGUCCUGUGGGAUGCCGACGGCGGCGAACGGGACUUAGACCUAAGCCCCCAUUAGCCAUAAAGUGCCACAGAGACGAGCCUUUCGGUGACGAAAGGGUGGAACGAGGUAAACCCCGCAAGCGAGAAACCCAAAUUAUGGUAGGGGAGCUCCCUGGAGGGAAUCGGAACCAAAGGGGAGAUCGGGAAUUUCCCGAUAGAUAGAUGACUACACCUUUUGUGCGAGGUUGGCAACCGAAAAGAGCACAAAGGAACAGAAACUGGCUUACAGGGUUC